CUCCGGAAAUGGUAAACCCAUCGAAAGGUGGGGACACAAAGUCACGGGCCUGUAGCCGGUUAUUUUUAACCGGUAUGGCAGCCGGACUGCCGAA
rfam:Halothermothrix orenii H 168, complete genome.